rnacentral:lncRNA from 1 species
AUUUGUGUGGGUUUAUUUGUAUAUAGUUCAUGGCCUAUUUGUUUUUGUGGCUUAGGGUUUUUACGUCUUCAAUAUAUGCAUAACAUUCUCACUUUCUUAGUGUGACCGCCACAUUUGCUCAGCAAAAAGAAUAAUAAUACCACCACCACCAACAACAAUAAUAAUAAUAGGGAUUAUUUUUUUUUUGGACAAAAUAAUAGAGAAUUAUUAUUAACACAGCAAAAUAGUCACUUCUAAAAUAAUAAUAAUAAUACCAAAAAUAUUGACAAAUCACAGUAAAAGAAGUUGACAGAAGAAAUUAAAGCUACAGUACUGGAGAGGAGAAAGGCAGAGAGGAAGAGAGAGUUACCCACAACCACAGUGAAGAUUCCUUGGGCUGGCACUGAAAUUAGCAGUUUUCCAUUUCUAGCUAAACUCCAAGAGCCUAGAAAACCUUGUAAACUUGACAGAAAUGGCGACCCUACCAAACUCCUCCCAGUCCCACCAUGCAACAUAUAUAUUACUUUAUAAAUUUUAUUCUUGAUAAAUUUCUAUAU